CUUCUCCCGUUCUUUCUUCUUUCUUUUCUUCUCCUCUUCUCUUCUCCCGACUUCUUCUCCUUUCUUCUCCCGCGAAGGGAGGAGGGCGAGCUCGGGAGAGGACCAACGGGAGCCCACCCCACCGUGGGGAGCGAAGGAAGGGCCUCCGACCGAGGAUCGGCGGCGCUACGGCCAUGGAUCCACCGAUCUCCCUCUUUUCCCGCGAAGCAAGGGGGAAGAUCUCCCUGUUGGAUAGCUCGGGAGGAGACCGGCCGAGGCCGACGACGCCCGCGACCAGCCAGAAACGCCCUCGGGACGGCUGCGGCCGAGCGUGCGACCGCUCCCCGCGACGGAUCCGCGGUCGAAAGACCCCAGGAAAGGGAAAACGAGGUGGUCGGGGGGCUUACCUGGUUCCGGGGAUGAACUGCGACGACCCUCUCCGGCGGCAACGACGUGGGUUUAGAAAACCUGUUUUUAAGGAUGUUGAGGGCUUUUAUAGCCCCGGGAAAGUUAGCCUCAACGGCUAAUGGGCCGGCCCACCGGCCCAACUGUGUGCGGGCCGGUCAAUGAACCGGGCCCUCACAAUAAAAAAAAAUAAAGGAUUAGUCAUUUUCCUUUCUUCUCUCAUGCCUAAAUAUCAUGCCAUGAAUAUGCAUAUUGGAUAUAAAUAUGUCUAGAUAUGUACACAUUUACAUAAGUAUGUGUUCGUUUAACCUGAAAGUUUAGACAAAAUUAGUCUAAAUUGAAAGAAAAUGUUUAAAUUCAAUAUUAAAAUAAUGAUGAUAAAGUCCUUAAAAAGAGGUCCCAAACAAUACAAAAAUAUCUACAAGCUGCCACAAUCUAAAAUUAAAAAGCUAUAUAUUGUAUAAAUAAAGCCAAAAUGAACAUCAUAUUUGAUUGAUAUAUGCAGUCAAACUUUAUCAUAUUUUCAAUGUUCAAACUGCUUGAAGAUGUGAUGAAGAAAACUGUCACUCAUAUUGGUUGAGCACUUCAUUACUCAAAUUUCUUGAAGUCAAAAUAUCAUACAUAUUGUAGAUAGAUACAUACUUAUGUACAAAUAUAUGUAUAUAUGCAUAUAUAGAGCAAUAUAUGCCAAAUCGAACUAAAUUUGGCUAAAUGGUUUGGAUUCGGUGCGAAUCGUCCUGAAUUGCUCCAAAUCGAGUAAAACUGCCUAGUUCUACCAGGUACGACCCAAUUCGCAUCAGAAAGGGACAUCCCCUAACCAAAAAGAGAGGAGAAGGCAGCCUAUACCAUUCCUCUCUCUUUUCUUCAAAAUUUUUUCAAAGAAGGUUAGGUUUUGUGAUGAAAAAUCAGGGAAGGAGACUGAUUUUUCUGGUUUUUAGCCCAACACCAAGCCAAUCAAGUAUAAUCUCCUCCCUUUUCUCCAUUCUUCUUUUUUUAUAUUUUUAUGCCUAAAAUAGGGUGAAAAUUAGUAAAAUCAGAAGAAACCAUACUUAAAAUUUGUAUUUUGGCAUAACUUCAUGAUAUGCUGUAGAUCUAAAGACUAAUGUAUGCAUUGAAAAAGAAAUCAUGGUUUUUCAUUGAUAGUGUAAUUUUUUAAUUAAAAAAAUAUAUUCAGUUUAAGAAAUCAUAAUAAAUAUAAUAAUGUUCAAAAAAAUUAAAAAUAAUAGCAUGUUUGGAGGUAUGCAUGUUAUUUGCUAUCUUAUUUUGAUGGCAAUUUGUUUAAAUUUAGGUAUGGUUAUGGCCACCCAAGCCUAAGUUCAAAUUCAAAUAAAUUUCAAAAUAAAUGGUGAUGAACACAUGCCCAUAGACUUAAAAUUAUAUGUAGCACCCUUAUAAGAGUUCUAUAUUUGUCUAAAUAAAAAUUAUUUUUCUAAGUACUUUAUAACUAAUAUUAAUGUUUUACUUAAACAUUAAUACAUUAAAAUAUUAUAAAUAUGAAAAAAGUGCUCUCUAUAGAUAAUGUACAAUUAUUUUUGAAGUAACUCGAUCAUUUUUUGCUCCUGUACUUGCACAAUUUUACUAAGACAAUAAUGAACUCUAUCUGCAGCGUACUACCUGAACCCUCGAUUUCAGUACACUGUAGCUGAAAUCAAUAUGGAUGACGAACAUCUGGCCGCUCUACAUAAUAUGUUUACACGAUGGAGCAUGAUCCAAAAAUCGCGGCCCUAUAUCUAGAAGAGAGAUGAGAGCAGUCCUUGCAGCUUUGAGAGCUCCAAUUUCCAACUUACUGGUGGUCUUCUUACACCUAUCGGCAACAGGGAUUGCAGUCUUGGUGCACGU